ACGUCGUUACGUAAACGUACUUGCGUGUUCCGCAGCUCGUGCCGACGUUUCAAAGCCCGCCCACCUAUAUGUUCUCUGGACGCUGCCGAAACGUCAUUGCAGCGGGAGCGCAGCAUAUUACAAGCUUCCGGAAGAACACUUCUGCCCAGAAACACGUUUAGAUUCAUACAGUGGAGUCUUUUUAUUGGGGAUGGGAGGAGGUCUGAGUCAUACUGGGCAAGAGAAGGCCCCUCCCGCCCAGCCUAGCAGGGUGUGCACCAACACUUUCCCCAGCACAGUGCCCGUGGAGCGCCCCCCACAGGCUGCCGGUGACUUGCCCCAGUGCAAGAUGGGGAGCAAAGUGGUGGAUGAUAUGUGUUUCAUGAUCUCUUGUACAAAUUGGUAUUAGAACCACUGAGCGUUUACAGCACGAAUGUCCCGAAGCUGGUGGGCUGUGACUGAAAUGCAUUUCCAUGUGAAUGCCUAAGUGCAGGUUUAUUCAUUUGAUUGAGUUUAUUUUUGUUCCUUUCAUAGAUUCUCCCCAUGAGGAAUGCAUCUUACAACCUUAGCCUUGAAUAUCCACAAUGUGUGCUGACUUUUGUUCUAAUUAACUCUGAAUUGGGUGUUGAUCAGUAUUAUUAAUUCAAUAGGCACAAUCAAAGAGGAAAUGCAUUUCCAUACAAGGAGUAGCCGCUUUUGAUUAUUCUGUGGACAUAUGUUUCUUUGUGAUCCCGCGUACAGCAAAUAAUUGUGUGAAAUGCAGUUUCUUUAGUUGCGUCCUACUGCAUGCUGCUAUCCAGUCUUUGUCAGACUUAAUCAAUUACAUUUAUAAUGGAAAUCAAGAAACUCUUGUCCGCCUUAUAUUUGUUUUCCUACAGCCAAUUUUCAUCUUCUACCACGGCUGUCUUUCAUCCUUUAUCCCAGUUAACAACAUGGGUGGUUGCAACCCGUAAAUAAUGCAUGUUACUGGCAUCGUAUAUUUAAACUUGAAAAAUGUCCCUGACACAAGACACUAGUAUGUAGGUAGUCACGUGACUUGCACGUCCGCAUGUAUUAUAGAAAAAAGGCUGCGUCCAACUUGAUUAUUUUAUUAACAUUUCCUUUUAAAAUACAACAUGGUGAAAUUGUUAUACACAGUGUGGAUUUCUUAAAGAAAUAAAAUGGUAAACAAAA